ACGCUGGCGGCAGGCCUAACACAUGCAAGUCGAGCGGUAGAGAGAAGCUUGCUUCUCUUGAGAGCGGCGGACGGGUGAGUAAUGCCUAGGAAUCUGCCUGGUAGUGGGGGAUAACGUUCGGAAACGGACGCUAAUACCGCAUACGUCCUACGGGAGAAAGCAGGGGACCUUCGGGCCUUGCGCUAUCAGAUGAGCCUAGGUCGGAUUAGCUAGUUGGUGGGGUAAUGGCUCACCAAGGCGACGAUCCGUAACUGGUCUGAGAGGAUGGUCAGUCACACUGGAACUGAGACACGGUCCAGACUCCUACGGGAGGCAGCAGUGGGGAAUAUUGGACAAUGGGCGAAAGCCUGAUCCAGCCAUGCCGCGUGUGUGAAGAAGGUCUUCGGAUUGUAAAGCACUUUAAGUUGGGAGGAAGGGUUGUAGAUUAAUACUCUGCAAUUUUGACGUUACCGACAGAAUAAGCACCGGCUAACUCUGUGCCAGCAGCCGCGGUAAUACAGAGGGUGCAAGCGUUAAUCGGAAUUACUGGGCGUAAAGCGCGCGUAGGUGGUUAGUUAAGUUGGAUGUGAAAUCCCCGGGCUCAACCUGGGAACUGCAUUCAAAACUGACUGACUAGAGUAUGGUAGAGGGUGGUGGAAUUUCCUGUGUAGCGGUGAAAUGCGUAGAUAUAGGAAGGAACACCAGGGCGAAGGCGACCACCUGGACUGAUACUGACACUGAGGUGCGAAAGCGUGGGGAGCAAAC
rnacentral:rRNA from 1 species